rnacentral:rRNA from 1 species
CAGCCGCCACGGGAAUACGAAGGGGGCUAGCGUUGUUCGGAUUAACUGGGCGUAAAGGGCGCGUAGGCGGGUUUUUAAGUCAGAGGUGAAAUCCCAAGGCUCAACCUUGGAACUGCCUUUGAUACUGGAAGUCUUGAGUCCGGGAGAGGUGAGUGGAACUGCGAGUGUAGAGGUGAAAUUCGUAGAUAUUCGCAAGAACACCAGUGGCGAAGGCGGCUCACUGGCCCGGUACUGACGCUGAGGCGCGAAAGCGUGGGGAGCAAACAGGAUUAGAUACCCGAGUAGUCCCUGUCUCUUAUAC